GGCGGCUGCGGCGCCUUCUUCUCCCCGGCAUCUCAGCGUUACAGCAAUCGGAAGAAACGCAAACGACUUGAUCGUCAGGAAAUGACGAUUCGGAUACCGACGGCGACGGCGACAAAAUUACUACUGCGAACCAAUAGAUAAGGCAAAUCUGCAGUUUAAGUGUCAAAUCCUAAAACCUUACAGCUAACCCAGUGAAUGCCGAGAGAAAUUGGUGCUCCCUAAGUAUAUUAACUCAUCAAUAUACUUAGGGAGGUGAUUUCGGCCGGAGAGUGUUCGGUGGAGGAGGAUGGAGGUGGUGACGCUGAUCGGCGGUGGUGCGGACCGGAGGUUGUGCCGGCUGCGUCCUCUCUCUCUCCUCUGCCGUGUGAUGCUGGGAAACAGAAAAGAAAAUGGGAGAAGGGGAUAUAAGAGUGGGUUUGCAUGGGGUAAUGACCCAUGGACAAUAUAGUGUUGUCAUUGGGAGUGAAUCAAGGAGAAAUUUGUGAGAUUAUGGUACUCCCUCCAUCUGCCGAAAUAAAAAUAAAUGGGGAAAGGUUGGGUUUG